AAAAAAUAAAAAAUGCGUUCAGAUCUAGAGAAAGAUCCAUUUUCUCGAUCAAGAAAAUGGAGCAGUUCAUUGAUAACUUGCCGCCGAUGGAUCUGAUGCGAUCGGAGAAGAUGACCUUCGUUCAGCUCAUCAUCCCCAUCGAGUCCAUGCACCACGCCAUCUCCUAUUUAGGCGAACUCAGCCUUCUCCAAUUCCGCGAUGUGGAGAGGAUUGCAAGCUAAGGUUAUGGAGUAUCAAGUCUGGUGAACUGCUUUUUGAGGACAAGUUCUCUGAUUCAGUUAUCUUCAUUGUGUGCUAUAAAACAUAUGGACAUAGUUUUAAAGCAGAAGAGGAAAACCAAUACAAGCGUGACUCAUCUCAGGGUGCAUGGCUUGGAUCACUUGAAGGACUAUUUUAUAUGUGCUGGUUAUGAGUGUGAAGGGUCCUGCAGCUAUAGAAUCUGAAGCUAACUAGAUGCCCACAAUACCUGAUAAAUACUAAGUUUAUAGCAUAUUACUCACAUGAAGCAGCUUAAGUCCUGAGAUUCUAGAAGGUUUACUAAGAUCAGGUUUGCAAUGAUACGGCAUGUAGAUGUCACAAUGGAUCAGGUUUAGGGAUGGCUUUCAUGUCUGCAAGGUUUAUGUCAACAAAAGUCGGAAGGAGUUGAUCGGCCGCAAUGGUCCACAUUUAGUGAUGUUAACUACUCAGGUUCUCUUUCAUCCACAUUUGGUAGCAAGGCUUUAGCAACUAAAGGAGAGAAGGAAAAUUUGAUGACAGAUUAUGUCUUAAGGGACUGGAGGUCUGUGCUGAUACUAUUGUAGGAAAUGCAAUGUUAAGGGGGAUAUCUGGUGGACAAAGGAAACGUGUUACAACAUGGGAGAUGCUGGUUGGACUAGCUAAUGCUUAAUUCAUGGAUGAAAUAUCUACUGGUUUGGAUAGCUCGACAACUUACCAAAUUCUAAACUCGCUCAAGCAAUGUGUUCACAUUCUCAAAGGAACAACAAUCAUCUCUUUGAAUUUUAAUGAAAUAUCUACUGGUUUGGAUAGCUCGACAACUUACUAUUCCCUCUUGCAUUUUAAUGAUAUGCUUGUGUGAUGCUACUAAAAAAUUUUCAGGGGUCAGAAAGACUUUGAAUUCAGAGUUAUGACAUGCUUGUGUAGGGCCUCUUGUGUCAUUACCCUAGGUUGGGAGCCUUGUGUUUUACUUCCCUUAGGGACAUAGUGAGCACGUGAAUGAAUUUGUUGUUCUCUUUUCAAAGUAAUAAUUUUUCUUA